CUCGGCCCGGCCGCCCUCGGCGGGGGGCGAGGGGGGGGGAGGGGGGUGGGGGGCGGGGGGCAGAGGGGGGCGGGCCUGGGGGUGGCCCUGGGUGGAGGAGACACCAGCCUGGGGUGGGGAAAGGGCCCGCCCUUGCUUGCAGGAAACCCAGGGCUUAUGUUUCCUAGUUUAUCAGCAACAACAAAAAAGUCACUGCUGAUGCUUGAGAGGGGAUGAUAAAACAGUUUCACCAGCGCCGGUACACGUGGACAGGACCCCGGAGCGGGGCGGGCCCGACCCAGGAGGGGGGCAGACCUGAGGCAGGAGGGAGGGGGACACAGCCCUGGGGGGGCACAGCCCUGGAGGGGGCUGUCUGGGAGCUCACCCUGUGCCCACCUGACACUGCCUGGGGCUCUUCCUGUGGAAAGAACUUAUUUUUCUCUAAUUAGAGGAAAAAUAAAAACCUAUGCCUGAGGGACUAAAAAACACAGCAGACAGCAGAAAGAGAGAGGUGGCAGGGCCUCCCCACACCAGGCCGAGUGGCAGCCCCAGAGGCCGAGCGAGGCUGCCUGUCCCCGACCCCCUCCCCCAGGGGCUCACCCAGCACCGCCCUCCCUGCACCCCCCUCCUGCCCUGGCACCACGGAGAGUGGGCAGUGCCUGCACGUGCAUCCCCGCACCGUGGGCCCCAAGAGGGGAGGCCACACCGGAGAAGGGCUGGGUGCCUAUGGCGGAGGGGGCCUGCCAGCCCCUCCCACUACGUCUCGGCAGGGAAAAAAAACCGCGUAACAGGUGCUGAGCAUGUCACUUUGUGUCUGCGUGUUAACAGGAAACACGUCCAGAAAGGACAGGGCCCAGAUUUUAACACAGAGUACUGCAACCAGGGAGCUGGGAUCGCUGGGGACUUUCAAUUUUUCAGUUUAAACACUUGAACGAUUCCAUUCUUACGGCUUCCUUAACCACUAAUGAUCGUUAACAAUCAACAGGAGCAAAUAUGUAAACACAAAAAAGGAGUAAACACGUAGACUCGGCCCCAAAUUCCCAGCGGCUUUCUGGCAGAGGAAUGGUGGGGUGGACGCGCGGCCUGCAAAGGGCGACGCUGACAAGCCCCAGGUCCCAGGAAGCCAGGAGCCCCCAGGCCUGCACCGUGUCCUUGGAACCCGCCUCGUGGACCACGUGUGCGCCAGGGAGGACCCCGAGCAUGCCGCCUGAACCCACACGCACACCCAGGCAGGCACACAGUCUGCUCGGGAGGAGCAUGCGAGACUGUGACCCGGGGGUCCAGAGGGUCGCGGCUCCUCGGCUCCCCCGUCCCCCAGCUGGGAGCGACCCCCCCCCCC
rnacentral:lncRNA from 1 species